GACGAACGCUAGCGGCGCGCCUAACACAUGCCAGUCGAACGAGCGAGAGGGAGCUUGCUUUCUCGAGCGAGUGGCGAACGGGUGAGUAACGCGUGAGGAACCUGCCUCAAAGAGGGGGACAACAGUUGGAAACGACUGCUAAUACCGCAUAAGCCCACGGUGCCGCAUGGCACAGAGGGAAAAGGAGCAAUCCGCUUUGAGAUGGCCUCGCGUCCGAUUAGCUAGUUGGUGAGGUAAUGGCCCACCAAGGCGACGAUCGGUAGCCGGACUGAGAGGUUGAACGGCCACAUUGGGACUGAGACACGGCCCAGACUCCUACGGGAGGCAGCAGUGGGGAAUAUUGCACAAUGGGGGAAACCCUGAUGCAGCGACGCCGCGUGGAGGAAGAAGGUCUUCGGAUUGUAAACUCCUGUUGUUGGGGAAGAUAAUGACGGUACCCAACAAGGAAGUGACGGCUAACUACGUG
rnacentral:rRNA from 1 species